rnacentral:rRNA from 2 species
GGUGGUAAUGCCGGAUGCUCCGACUCCUCGCAUGGGGUGUCGGGAAAGAUUUCAUCGGUAUGGGAUGGGGUCGCGUCCUAUCAGGUAGUCGGCGGGGUAACGGCCCACCGAGCCUACGACGGGUAGCCGGCCUGAGAGGGCGACCGGCCACAUUGGGACUGAGAUACGGCCCAGACUCCUACGGGAGGCAGCAGUGGGGAAUAUUGCACAAUGGGCGCAAGCCUGAUGCAGCGACGCCGCGUGCGGGAUGACGGCCUUCGGGUUGUAAACCGCUUUUGAUCGGGAGCAAGCCUUCGGGUGAGUGUACCUUUCGAAUAAGCACCGGCUAACUACGUGCCAGCAGCCGCGGUAAUACGUAGGGUGCAAGCGUUAUCCGGAAUUAUUGGGCGUAAAGGGCUCGUAGGCGGUUCGUCGCGUCCGGUGUGAAAGUCCAUCGCUUAACGGUGGAUCUGCGCCGGGUACGGGCGGGCUGGAGUGCGGUAGGGGAGACUGGAAUUCCCGGUGUAACGGUGGAAUGUGUAGAUAUC